rnacentral:rRNA from 1 species
AGUGAACGCUGGCGGUAUGCCUAACACAUGCAAGUCGAACGGCCGCACAGUAAGAGCUUGCUCUUACGGGUGGCGAGUGGCGGACGGGUGAGGAAUACAUCGGAAUCUACUUUUUCGUGGGUGAUAACGUAGGGAAACUUACGCUAAUACCGCAUACGACCUACGGGUGAAAGCAGGGGAUCUUCGGACCUUGCGCGAUUGAAUUAGCCGAUGUCGGAUUAGCUAGUUGGCGGGGUAAAGGCCCACCAAGGCGACGAUCCGUAGCUGGUCUGAGAGGAUGAUCAGCCACACUGGAACUGAGACACGGUCCAGACUCCUACGGGAGGCAGCAGUGGGGAAUAUUGGACAAUGGGCGCAAGCCUGAUCCAGCCAUGCCGCGUGGGUGAAGAAGGCCUUCGGGUUGUAAAGCCCUUUUGUUGGGAAAGAAAAGCAGCAGGUUAAUACCCCGCUGUUCUGACGGUACCCAAAGAAUAAGCACCGGCUAACUUCGUG